CUACGUGCCAGCAGCCGCGGUAAUACGGAGGGUGCGAGCGUUAAUCGGAAUAACUGGGCGUAAAGGGCACGCAGGCGGUGACUUAAGUGAGGUGUGAAAGCCCCGGGCUUAACCUGGGAAUUGCAUUUCAUACUGGGUCGCUAGAGUACUUUAGGGAGGGGUAGAAUUCCACGUGUAGCGGUGAAAUGCGUAGAGAUGUGGAGGAAUACCGAAGGCGAAGGCAGCCCCUUGGGAAUGUACUGACGCUCAUGUGCGAAAGCGUGGGGAGCAAACAGGAUUAGAUACCCUGGUAGUCCACGCUGUAAACGAUGUCGAUUUGGGGGUUGAACUUUGAGUUUGGCGCCCGUAGCUAACGUGAUAAAUCGACCGCCUGGGGAGUACGGCCGCAAGGUUAAAACUCAAAUGAAUUGACGGGGGCCCGCACAAGCGGUGGAGCAUGUGGUUUAAUUCGAUGCAACGCGAAGAACCUUACCUACUCUUGACAUCCAGA
rnacentral:rRNA from 1 species